rnacentral:tRNA from 1 species
GAGGGUAUAGCUCAGUGGCAGAGCAUACACUUAGCAUGCACAAGGUUCUGGGUUCAAUCCCCAGUACCACCA